UGCUAGGCGAAGCAGUGGAAUGCUGCACCCUAGAUGGUGAGAGUCCAGUAGCCGAAAGCAUCACUAGCUUACGCUCUGACCUGAGUAGCAUGGGGCACGUGGAAUCCCGUGUGAAUCAGCAAGGACCACCUUGCAAGGCUAAAUACUCCUGGGUGACCCAUAGCGAAGUAGUACCGUGAGGGAAGGGU